UGCACCAGUAGCUCAGCUGGAUAGAGUACUGCCCUCCGAAGGCAGGGGUCGUGGGUUCGAAUCCCGCCUGGUGCACCAC
rnacentral:tRNA from 1 species